rnacentral:rRNA from 1 species
AUGGAGGGAGAUGGCUUGGCCAGGCCGUCAACACCCAUCGGCAACUUCCGGCAGGCGCCGUCCCGUUCUUCCUCCCCUUACUCUGAUGCCUUCAUGGCCAAAAUCAUUAGCAGGAGCAAGAAGGUUAAGCGCCAAUUAUGGUUAAAGCUUUGUCUCUUUUGUGUACUAUGCAUGAUUGAUCUGAUUUUGCUGGCCAGCUUACAAAUUCAAGUAAUAUGGCUAUUGCAAUGCAUCUUACUACGUGUGUAUUUAUUUGCAUUGAUAUUUUCUCCUUCUUGGGCUCCAAAUCGUUUGUGGGUCAUAAGUUAUUGUGCAUUAUUGAUGAUUAAUUUGCAAUUUAAAUGA